GAUGAACGCUGGCGGCGUGCCUAAUACAUGCAAGUCGAGCGAACAGAUAAGGAGCUUGCUCCUUUGACGUUAGCGGCGGACGGGUGAGUAACACGUGGGUAACCUACCUAUAAGACUGGAAUAACUCCGGGAAACCGGGGCUAAUGCCGGAUAACAUUUAGAACCGCAUGGUUCUAAAGUGAAAGAUGGUUUUGCUAUCACUUAUAGAUGGACCCGCGCCGUAUUAGCUAGUUGGUAAGGUAACGGCUUACCAAGGCGACGAUACGUAGCCGACCUGAGAGGGUGAUCGGCCACACUGGAACUGAGACACGGUCCAGACUCCUACGGGAGGCAGCAGUAGGGAAUCUUCCGCAAUGGGCGAAAGCCUGACGGAGCAACGCCGCGUGAGUGAUGAAGGUCUUCGGAUCGUAAAACUCUGUUAUUAGGGAAGAACAAAUGUGUAAGUAACUGUGCACGUCUUGACGGUACCUAAUCAGAAAGCCACGGCUAACUACGUG
rnacentral:rRNA from 1 species